rnacentral:lncRNA from 1 species
GUCUAGUGGUUUGAUUGUUUCGCCUUGAUUGUCGUUUACGAGGUAGUUGCUUCGGUUAGCGAUGAUCGAAUCGGAACCAGUCGAAGGAAGGACAUGCAGAUAGGAGAAAGACCUUGGAUGAGUACAACUACAAGUGAACUGAGGAUCCUGGAAAUGUCACUCGACAGGUGCCACGUCCCACCCAACCUCGUAGAAUCCUAUUAGACAUGCAAUAUUAUAGAUGCUAGUGCUUUACUUUUAUGCAAAUGAACUAUGAUAGGUUGCAUGGUAGAAAUGCUUGUGAGCCAUUGCCUUGUUGCAACCUAUAACCCUCGCACACCCGCUGUUAGGUUAGAUGCUUGCAUACUACUUGCUACUGCUUCUACUACGCAUUAUAUCUGUGAUGUGAUGCAUUGUGGAGGAUUAGAUGUGAGUGGAUAAGGCACGUGUGCCGAUAACUGGUUAAGAAAUGGAUAAUGGAUAUGGGGAGAUCUUGGCGUGUGUCUUGGGUGUGUGGUGAGGGUCGAGUCGACCGAGCAGGAUUUACGACGAGUCUUGGGACAAGUCUUGCCGGGGAACGCUACCUGGGCGUUCUCCAUGAGAGAUACCUGUGGCGGGUACAUGUGACAGGGAGAGGUCCCGGAGUGGAGUGUCUUCGUGGGACGAAGCACCGGAUGGGAGGUGCUGUAUAGCACGGGGUAGCCGGGUGUCCCGUCGAGAGGGGCAUCGGCUGGCCCCUCGUGAAGAUGUCCUGUUCGGUUACCCUAAGGACUGAGAUGUUCUGAGAACCGGUUCGUAGGAAGCCUUACACGCCACUCGCCUUAUUAUGGUGCGGGACGGAUGUACGACCAGCUAGUGCGGUGCCACUACUACUAGGUUGAUAGCGGAUAGUGUAGGGAGGUACGGGCAUGAGGACCCACACCCUCCUAAGACAGCGUAGUGACCCUUGGGGGCCCGGUACUACGCCUCACAGUCUCAGCAUGCCGGUGGUACUCCGGUAUGGCCCCAGUCCUGAGUGGUAGGGUGGCAUCGUAUUUAGUUGGAAGGUAGCCCGGUAUCAGCCUAGACGAGCCGGUUCGUCGAUGAUGGUGAUCUUGUGGUUAGUGUAAACCUCUGCAGAGUUUGGUUGAUCGAUCGAUACAUAUGCCGUCUUCUCGGCUAUGGACCUUUCCUAUGUUCCGCUUCGCUUGACUAGUGAGAGGAGUCCUUUCUACCUUCCCCUGGGUUUGUGUUGGAUCCGGCGUUGGCCGUUGAGGCAAGGCACGAGCGGGAGUCGUACUUGCCGCCUAGAGAGUGAGAGUGUGGUAAGUUAUGUGUGAUGGGAUGGAUGGAUGGAUGGACGUGUGGUUGAGAUGGAUUAAAACUUGAUGAAUUAUUAUUAUUAAAAUAUUGAUGAACUUGCAUAGGAAAAACUACAGCCAUAUAUAGGCCUCUUGAUCUACCCUUUUGCAUUCCACUUACCACAAAGCUUACGCAAAAGCAUAGGGUGGGAGCCAGUGGCCAGUACAAAUCGUACUGAAAAUUGUUUAGCAGGUUUUGAACGUGAUCUAUGACGAUAACUACGGAGAAUAGAAGGAUUAGGUGGUCUCGUUCCUGCGCUCAAGUUUGGUUCAGAGAUGAAGGCUGCGCCCGCUGAUAAACUACGCCGACUCUGAUG